rnacentral:rRNA from 1 species
UACGUAGGGACCGAGCGUUGUCCGGAUUCAUUGGGCGUAAAGAGCUCGUAGGCGGCUGUUCAAGUCGAACGUGAAAACUCGGAGCUCAACUCCGAGCCUGCGUUCGAUACUGGACGGCUAGAGUCUGGUAGGGGGAUCUGGAAUUCCUGGCGUAGCGGUGGAAUGCGCAGAUAUCAGGAGGAACACCGGUGGCGAAGGCGGCUCACUGGCCCGGUACUGACGCUGAGGUGCGAAAGCGUGGGGAGCAAACAGG